UACGGGGGGGGGCAAGCGUUGUUCGGAAUUACUGGGCGUAAAGGGCUCGUAGGCGGCCAACUAAGUCGGAUGUGAAAUCCCCAGGCUUAACCUGGGAACUGCAUCCGAUACUGGAUGGCUUGAAUCCGGGAGAGGGAUGCAGAAUUCCAGGUGUAGCGGUGAAAUGCGUAGAUAUCGAGAGGAACACCGGUGGCGAAGGCGGCCAACUGGACGAACACUGACGCUGGAGACACGAAAGCGUGGGGAGCAAACAGG
rnacentral:rRNA from 1 species